rnacentral:rRNA from 1 species
GAUGAACGCUGGCGGCGUGCCUAAUACAUGCAAGUCGAGCGAACAGACGAGGAGCUUGCUCCUCUGACGUUAGCGGCGGACGGGUGAGUAACACGUGGAUAACCUACCUAUAAGACUGGGAUAACUUCGGGAAACCGGAGCUAAUACCGGAUAAUAUAUUGAACCGCAUGGUUCAAUAGUGAAAGACGGUUUUGCUGUCACUUAUAGAUGGAUCCGCGCCGCAUUAGCUAGUUGGUAAGGUAACGGCUUACCAAGGCAACGAUGCGUAGCCGACCUGAGAGGGUGAUCGGCCACACUGGAACUGAGGCACGGUCCAGACUCCUACGGGAGGCAGCAGUAGGGAAUCUUCCGCAAUGGGCGAAAGCCUGACGGAGCAACGCCGCGUGAGUGAUGAAGGUCUUCGGAUCGUAAAACUCUGUUAUUAGGGAAGAACAAAUGUGUAAGUAACUAUGCACGUCUUGACGGUACCUAAUGAGAAAGCCACGGCUAACUACGUG